AAAAACUGCAAAAUUCAAACCUAUUUAUUUGUUGUGAGUUUAGAAUUCUAUUUUUGUAUCUGAUCAAUUUUGCCACAACUCCCAUGAAAUAUGGGCCCAAAUAUGGUCUUUGAAGUGGGCUUAAAUUUCAUGAGCAUAGUAGGUCGACCACCGUUAGCUAUGAAAUGGGCCAGCACGAAUAAGAGAAACGGGUCCACUAUUCUCAAAGGUUGAUUGACACAACCUAAUUCACAUUCAUAGAUGGGCUUACCCAACUUCUGUUUUCCUAAGAGACACAAAAUGACAAAAUUAUGAAUACAAAUACAUUUUAUUAUUAUUUUGCACGCCGCUAAUGAUAAAAAUGGAUUGUAAUCUGCUACAAAGAUUUUACAACUAUGAUUGCUUUUGCUAUGAGAGUUCCCGCUCAAAUAAUUUUAAGAUCAUUAUUAGAUGUUUUUAUAAGUUUGUUAUUCAUAUUUCCAGGAGUAUCCCUAAUCUGUGUUACACAUGAAUUAGUUGUGCAUGCUCUUUGGAUGAAUAAAUAACUUGUUGUUGGGUGUAUAGUAUUAUUUUGAUUAUCCUCACAAGAAUAGUAUUUAUUUGAUGAACAUAAAAUGUAUAAUAUUCAUAACUAGCCUUAUGACGUUAUUAUAGUUUUAAUGAAUUUAUUUAUUGGAAAAAAAAAAAUAGGCAUACUCUUCUUGUUGCAAAAAAAAAAAAAUAAAAAAAAAAAAAAAAAAAGUAGGUGUACUCUUCUUUUUCUUCUUCUUCUUCUUUUUUUUUUUCCCUUUCUUUUAAGUUUAAAAAAUAGUUUUUAUUUUCAUUUUAGUUUUAAAACAAACUUGUAGUAAUAAGACAUUUAACCACUAUCAUAAAUAUUUGGUUACACACAUGUAGAGUUGUAGAUAAAUUAUUUCACUUAAAUUGUUCACAACAUGCCACUCAUAAUAUUGAAUUUUGCAAAUUUUCUUUGUGGUUAGUAAAUUUAACCCUCGAUUUCUAUAUUGAACAUGAAUUUAAACUUUGACACAUUUAAUUAUUAAUUCAAGAGACAUAAAAAAUAAGAUGAGCUCCCUCCAAUCUAUUAGAUUGAAUUUGAAGAUUGAAGUGAUAUGAAAAAUAAUUUCCAAAAAUAAUAGGUAGGUGUAUAAUUUUGAAAAUGUAAAAACAUUAAAAAAAUUAAUAAUAGAGGGAUUAAAAAUGAAAAUAGAAAGGCAGAGUGUGAUAUAGGUAUACCUAUUGUUCGUAUAUGGAAAGUUAGGUCUGAAUGUCCGCUGAAGAGAAUACUUGAGAGUUGAGUUUAUGCCUCAACUGUACUCUAACUCUUAAGUCCUUUACCCAUUAAAUUUACUACUCAUCAUCAUCAUCAUCAUCAUCAUCUUCUUCCUCUCUUUCUCUUCAACACAAUAUAUACCAAUACCAUGUCUCUAAUUAUGCCAUUGAUGUUUAAGUCAUUGGUGAGGUUUUUAACAACGCUAAUUGUGGAGCCAGCAGCUUCGGUGUCGACCUUGCUAUUCUACAGUGAGCUUUUACCACAAAGCAACGUCUUAGAAAGACUGGUUCGUCAUGAAAUGCUUCGUCAAGAUAAUAAUUAUCUCUUCCAUUUCAUUGUUAACUUCUUGAGGUGUUUUUGGUAAUAAUCAAUUUUUUUAUGGGUAGUUAUAUUUACACCCCUAAUAUUAUUAAGUACACCCCAAAAUUUUAUAUACAUUCUUAACCUUGUGUAAAAUGACAAAAAUAGACAUUUUAAAAUUAAAUAAAAUUAAUUUUUAAGGAAUUUAUAAUUAAAUCAGUUAUUUCUAAUAAAUACACCUCAUUUACUUUUUUUUUCUUUUUUGAACGAGACCCUAUUUCCUUAGUUAAAUUGAGUAAUUUUAAAUCCUAAAAGAAAAAUAAAUAGCAACACAGUAUAGAAAAGAUUAUUCAUACAAAAGAAAUUAGAAAUUACAUAUAGAAAAAUAAAUAGCAACACAUAUGAAAGUUUCAUUGUAUGAAUCAUUUACAAGGUGGGAUUGUAUAUAAAUAGAGUAUUCACUUUCUUUGUAUUACUUCAAGAAAUUUUUAUAUUGCUGUCUGCACAUAUAUAUAACUUUCUUUUUUAUUGUGCCAAAAAUAAUAAAAAUAGUACUGUUUCAUGGUAUCAAAACAUGAUUCUUUGAGUUUUUAAAUAAUUAAAGAUCAUUCAUCACACAAAAAAAUAAAUCAGCGAGUAUAUAUAAAAAAAUCAAAAUGGUGAUUACCUUUCUUUCAAAAAAAAAUUGCGGUUACCUUAUAAAAAAAUCCUUUGAGUAGUAACAUAUAGAGAUUAAAAGGGAAGUUAGAGAUUUUCCAAUUAAAGAUUAAAAGAAGAAGAUGGUCUCUUUAAAAAAAUAUGGGGUGCACUUCUCCAUUUAAACAAGACCUACUUUUGUAAUAAAAAUGGGGUGCUUUUAUAAAAAAUAACAAUUUUAAAAAUAAAGAGGGGGUAAACUUAGAUAUGGGGUGUACUUAUAUAUUUUUGGGGUGCAAAUAUAAUUACCCUUUUUUUAUUUACCCUAACUUUAUAUAGUUGAUUAAAUUUUUUUAAAAAAUUACUAAAGUACGUCAAUAUUAUUAUUUUUUUUUUAUUUUUAUUUUUAUGUUUUGAAUUUUUGUAUUUAUGAAAAUUCCUCAUUAGUGAAAGUUAUAAACCCCUAUUUAGAAGUGUA